AUUGCUUCUCGGCCUUUUGGCUAAGAUCAAGUGUUUUUAGCAGUUUAAUAUCUGAUACGUCCUUUAUAUGAGUAUAUAUAGCAAGGCACCUAACCCCCA
ensembl:snRNA U2 U2 spliceosomal RNA